UAUUGCUCUUGAACGAGGAAUCCCUAGUAAGCACAAGUCAUUAGCUUGUGCUGAUUACGUCCCUGCCCUUUGUACACACCGCCCGUCGCUACUACCGAUUGAAUGGCUUAGUGAGGCCUUCGGAUUGAGAUUCGGAGUUUGGCAACAGACCCUGGGUUUUGAAAAGUUGGUCAAACUUGGUCAUUUAGAGGAAGUAAAAGUCGUAACAAGGUUUCCGUAGGUGAACCUGCGGAAGGAUCAUUACCAAUUUUAGCGAACCUAACCUUUGGGUUAUGGUCUCGCGAAAAAACUUGUAUUUAAAACCCCACUCUUUAUAUAUAAAAUGAAUCUUAUUAUAUAAUAAUAAAUAAAGAUCACUUUCAACAACGGAUCUCUUGGCUCUCGCAUCGAUGAAGAACGUAGCGAAGUGCGAUAAGUAAUGUGAAUUGCAGAAUUCCGUGAAUCAUCGAAUUUUUGAACGCAAAUUGCACUCUCUGGCAACCCGGGGAGUAUGCCUGUUUGAGGGUCAGUAUAAUUAAAAAUCGGUGCGUUGCAAUUAUUUUUGUGACGUUCCGGAGUUUGGGUUAUCUUAACCUUUUUUAGGUUAAGAGACUUAAAAUUGAAUCCUCUUUUGCGCAUUUUAGACGUACAUAAAAUUUUUUUUUAUUCGUCUAUUUUAAUGCCAAAAUCUAUUAGUGCGACCAUGUAUAUUGUUACGCAUCUAUAAUUUUUCAUGAUUGGACCUCAAAUCAGGUAGAGUACCCGCUGAACCUUAAGCAUAUCAUAAGCGGAGGAAAAGAAAAUAACAUGAUUUCCUCAGUAACUGGCGAGUGAAGAGGGAAAAGCUCAAAUUUAAAUCUGUAAGGUUUUACUGACGAGUGGUAUUUGAAAGAGGGCGUUUUCUGGAGUUGAUCAGUCAAGGUUCUUGGGAUAAGGCAUCACGGAGGGUGAGAAAUCCGUUCGGUGAUCGGAUCUUCUUUACCAGAAUCCGCUCAUCAAGAAGGUCAGUGUUGAAAUGCACGCUUAAAAUGGGAG
rnacentral:rRNA from 1 species